AGAGUUAAACAGUACGUGAAAUUGUUGAAAGGGAAACGAUUGAAGUCAGUCAUACCAACGGGAAAUCAACCUUUUGAGUUUGGUCUCGUGGGUUUUGAAGAGUUUAAAAGCCUUCGGAUUUUCGAGAUUGGGUUCUUCUGGUGUACUUUCUCGUACGGUUAGUCAACAUCGGUUUCGGUCGGGGGUAGAUUAGUACGAGAAGGUGGCUCGCUCUUCGGGGCGAGUGUUAUAGCUCGUAUGAGUGCCUCCGCUGGGACCGAGGACUGCGGUGCAUGCCUCAUCCGGGGCUGGCCAGCUGGACGCUGAUGACUUGGCGGCUUGCGGACAACCUAGUUGACCGUGGGCGACCAGGUGAUCACCGAUUCAGUGUGGGCACACAUGCGCCAAGGAUGUUGACGAAAUGGUUUUAAACGACC
rnacentral:rRNA from 1 species